rnacentral:lncRNA from 1 species
AGCGGGGAUUACAGGCACCCACCACCACACCUAGCUAAUUUUUGUAUUUUUAGUAGAGACAGGAUUUUGCCAUGUAAGCCAGGCUGGUCUCGAACUCCUAACCUCAUGAUCCGCCCACCUCAGCCUCCCAAAGUGCUGGGAUUACAGGCGUGAGCCACAGCGCCCGGCCUUAACAAAAGAUAGUUUUUAAAAGGAGAAAAGGGUUCCAUGAGGUGGUUUUAAUGUGUCUAGAAGCCUAACAGAAAUUGUAGGGCAGCAGACUCCUAAAACACCUCCUGCCUCUACACCUGCCCUCUCUACUGGGUUGAAUAGCGUCCUCUUCCCCUCGAAUUCACAUCCACUCAGACCCGUGAAUGUGACCUAUUUGUGGAUGUAAUCAAGUUAAGAUGAGGUCAUAGUUGAUUAGCAUGGGCCCUGAUCCAGCGACUGGUGUCCUUACAAGAGGGAAAUUUGGACACAUAAACACACACAGGAAGAAGACCAUGAGACGACAGAGACAGGGAUCAGAGUGAUGCCGCCACAAGACCGGGAACACAAAGGAUCGCAGGCGCCCACCAGCAGCUGGAACAGAGGCAUGAGACAGACUCUCCCUUUGAGCCCCCAGGGUGGCAACAGCCCUGGUGACACCUUGAUUUCCAAUUCCUGGCCUCCUUAGCUGUGAGAGAACGUAUUUCUUUUGCUUUGAGCCACUCGUAACGGCGGCCACAGGACACUGACAGGCCCUACUGUAGUGGAUCAUUGCCACAGCAGCCGGGGGGCCUGUGAACCAAACGUCAAAGCACACCCCUCUCUUUCUCAAAAUUCUGCAACAGGCCAGGCACAGUGGCUCAUACCUGUAAUCCCAGCAACUUGGGAGGCUGAAGUAGGCAGGUCACUUGAGGUCAGGAGUUCAAGACCAGCCUGACCAACAUGGUGAAACUCCGUCUCUACCAAAAAAUACAAAAAUUAGCUGGGUGGGGUGGCGUGUGUCUGUAAUCCCAGCUACUUGGGAAGCUGAGGUGGGAGAAUUGCUUGAACCCAGGAGGCGGAGGUUGCAGUGAGCUGAGAUCGCGCCACUGCACUCCAGCCUGGUCGACAGAGCAAGACCCUGUCUCAAUAAAUAAAUAAAUAAAUAAAUAAAUAAACAAACAAACAAACAAUCAAAAUAAAAUAAAUAAAUAAAUAAAUCCCGUAACAGCCCCAUUUCAGCCCAUGAAAAUGGCCAGGGCUGACAAUGGCCUCCACUCCUGCCUACGACUCACCCCUGCCUGCUUCACUCCAGCCUCACUUCCUGCUGCUCCUCAAAUAUUCCAGGCACAUCCCCACAUUACGGACCUUAUUCCAGUUGCAUUUUUCUCCAGGAACAUGCUCCCUCCAGAGCUCUGUGUGGCUCACUUUCUCACCUCUUCCAGUCUUUGCUCAAGAAUCACUCGACUGAGCGCGGUGGCUUACACCUGUAAUCCCAGCACUUUGGGAGGCCGAGGCAGGCUGAUCACAUGAGGUCGGGAGUUCGAGACCAGCCUGGCCAACAUGGCAAAACCCCAUCUCUACUAAAAAUACAAAAUAACAGCCGGGUGUGGUGGUGCAUUCCUGUAAUCCUGGCUACUCCCAGCUGCUUGGGAGGCUGAGGCAGGAGAAUCGCUUGAACCUGGGAGGCGUAGGUUGCAGUGAGCCGAGAUCCUGCCACUGCACUCCAGCAUGGGUGACAGAGCAACACUCCGUCUCAAAACAAACAAACAACAAAAAAAACUGUUGUGGGCUGGGCUGGAUUGUACACCACCACCCCCCCACCCCAAUCCAUAUGUUGAAGUCCCACCCUUUAGUAUCUCAGAAUGUGAUUGUAUUUGAAGAUAGGAUCUUUAAAGAGGUGAUUGAGGUUAAGUGAGGUCACUGGGGCAGGCCCUAAUCCAUUAUGACUGGUGUCAUUAGAAGAGAUCAGGACACAGACACACGCAGAGGGACGACCACGUGAACACAUAGGAAAAAGAUAGCCAUCUACAAGCUGAGAAGACUCAGAAGAAACCAACCUUGUGGACCACUUGAUCUCAGACUUUUAGCCUCCAGAAUUGUGAGAAAAUAAAUUUUUGUGAUUUAAGCCCCCAUUCUGAGGUAUUUUGUUAGGGGCAACCCAAGCAAACUAAUAUAAGGAUUAUCUCCUUCAUCACUGGAUGUGCAGAAAUUUGAGAAAGAAAUUCAUCAGUCAAUUAAUUGUGUCAACCCUAUUUGGUUACACUAAUUAGCUCUAGAUUGUAAGUACCUCGAGGGCAGGCAUUUUGAUUAUUUGGUCCAUUCUUGUACCCUUUUUAAUUCCCUUAAACAGUGACAGGCUAGAGUGAGUGCUCAAGAGUUAUGUGUUAAAUAAAUGAGUGAACAAACCAUCUCAUGCUAAUCAAAGGCCCUAAUCGGGCACUUACAUAAGGCUUCGAUUCAUAAAAUAAUAAAUAAAUAAAUAACCUUAACUAUUACUUAUUCAAAGCAGUUUGGUAGAAAAUAAACUUUCAAAUCAGAGGGUAUCCUGUAUUGAUUUGCUUAGGAAAAAGAAAAAUAGGGACAAAGCAAGGUGGCUUAUGCUUUUAAUCUCAGCACUUUGGGAGGCUGAGGUGGGCAAAUCACUUGAGGACAGGAGUUGGAGACCAGCUUGGCCAACAUAACAAAACCCCAUCGCUACUAAAAAUUGGCCGGGCAUGGUGGCUUACGCCUGUAGUUGCAGCUACUCGAGAAGCUGAGGUAUGAGAAUCACAUGAACCUGGGAGGUGGAAGUUGCAGUGAGCUGAGAUUAUACUACUGCACUCCAACCUGGGCAACAGAGUGAGAAUCCGUCAAAAAAAAAAAAAAAAAAACAAUUAGCUGGGUGUGGUGGUGGGCGACUAUAGUUCCCCCAGCUACUCAGGAGACUGAGGCAUGAGAAUUGCUUGAACAUGAGAGGCAGAGGUUGCAGUGAGCCAAGAUGGCACCAUGCACUCAAGUCUGAGCUACAGAGCAAGACUGUCUAAAAAUAAAAAAAAAGAAAACUUUAAAAAGUUUAAUUUAAAAAAAAAACAGAAGGCAAAUGGGAGAGGGGGAGUAGAAGGGUCUCAGGUGGUUAGAAUACCGGGGACCUCCCAUAGGGAUUUUGUGGCAAGGUCCCAGCAAAAGGAGAACUUGGCACUUGGCAGAUCUAAAAACAAAGUCAAGAGGGCCAAGGAGAGUGAAAGGAAGAAAUUAAAGGGGACGUUCCUCUUCUAGAAAGCCCAGCUGACUGCAGAUGGUUGGGCAGGGCACUAAGAGGCAUGACCUGAGCUAUGGUGUAGAGCCCAGAGACUUCCAUCCAAGCUCCAGCACCACCCUUCACUGAGGAAGGGACUGAGGCUCAGUUUCUUCUUCUGUAAAAUGGGAACAUUUGUAUCUGCCCAUUCUUCCACAUGGGGUGGUUGUAGGAAAGGUCAAAGAAAACAAAAUAAUGCACAGGAAAGCCUUUUGUGAGCUGUCAGUUGCUCUAGAGAUGUGAGAAACUAUAGGCAUCACUGUUCUUGCCAUAAUAGUAAUCAGAGGAAAAUUAAGGGAAACAGGACUUCCCCAAGCCCUCCUUUCCUUGUCCUCCCAGAAGUUGAACCAAGAGUCAUCCCUGCGGCUCCAUGACCCCACGCCCACACUCACAUGAGACACACUGUCCUCACUGACUGCCAACUCAUCGGUCUCCCACACUGAGCUCCACGGGGACAGUCCAUGUCUGUGUCCCCAGAGCUCAGCACGGUGCAGCCAUGUAGAAGUUAUUAUAACACAGUAAAAGUGGGGCGAACGAAUGAAUGAACCUACAAACAGCACUGAGCUGCAGAAUGAAGGAUCUGUGGAGACUGAAAGGACACCAUGUGGCCUGACAGCAAGUGGGAAGGGCUCCCAGCUUCCUCAUCCUCACCAAGGAGCAUGCAGGUCCCAGACAAAGCUCAGGCUGGAAAAUGGGACUUCAAAGAGUUCUCCAUUGGAGGAGUUUGGGCCAAGUAGGCCACAGUGGAACCAGAGCUGGCUUACCUGUUGUCCAAGUGGUGGCCGGUCAGAGUUGGGGAGCUGCUAGUUUCUUCUUGGGUGACUGGUGCUGUAAACGUAGUGGAGGUAGGCGUGGUGGGGGCAGGAGUCGACGCUGUAGUUGAUGCUUGGUGUAUAAACCAGAUCACAGAUGCCCCUGCCCAUGAGCCCACCCGCAGCCCUGCACACAGCUCUGAGCCUGGGCGGGGGUCUGGACUGCUACUAUGGGAAGGGGCUGCAGCCUGGACCACUCAUGUCUCCCUGGUCUCUAGGAGACUCCAGAGCCUCAUAGGCAGGUGGGGCUGGGCAGGGUCCAGGGAGGACGCUGAGCUGGCCCUGGGAGGGUUAGAGGGGGCUGGGAAGAGCCUAAGGGCAGCUGGAGACCAGCUGAACUUGAGCAACCUGCUGCUUAUGACAGUGCCUUGGUCAAUCUCCACCCCCAGCCCUAUUUAUCCAGCAAAAACAGGAGCAGAGUGGGAACUUGCACAGUGACCCUAGAUCUGUGACAUCAAAGGUCAGGACCAGCCCUGAAUGAAAUCAUCAUAUUCAGGAAGAACUUUGACUUUGGGCAAGUUACAAAACUUCAAUGAUGGGGAUGCCCCCUUCUCAGGGGUAUUGUGAGGACCCAUUGAGACAAUGCACGUUCAGCACUUUGCAAACUAGAAUAUGCCCCAGAGGCUCCGGGUGCAACCUGGGGCCCCAAGGACUGUGGUGCUCCUUCCAUGCCACAAGGGCCCUCGAGCCAUCCUGCUUAUCUUCUGAGGGACAGCAGAACAAGCCCAACAAAUAAACCCAUGCAAACCGAGGCACUGGGACCCCUGAGCUAACGCUCCCAGGAGUGUCUGCAUUCUAGAAGGACAUAGGAAGAAAUAUCAUUAAGUCCACACACACAAAUGGCUCAUGGUGGGAUGUCAGGGACCAGGAAUGCAGCCGUUUGACUGUGAAGACCUUUCUGGACUUGGGAAUUAGACCCCAGCACCCCGACUAUGCUGAGCCUCUUUUUCCCCCAGGUUAGAUAUGGAAUGGGAGAUGGGAACAGCAGCUAUGAAGCCCCAGCCCAGAACUCCACCAAAAGCAGGACACACCUGGGCACCAGAGGUCUCCAAAAAGCAAUGGCAAGGACUGGGGUCUCUGGGUACCAUGGGAAGGCAUCCCUUUGGCCCAUGGGCUGAAACUGGGACCAUCACCUUGUCCUCAGGCACUGAGCUGUGCAGAGGUAAAAAAUGUGCCUAGAAAGGCUUAAUCCCGUCGUGGAGGGAGCCCUGGGAGCCAUGGGGGCAUUGAAGAGAGGCCCUGCUCCCCCAGUCCCAGGUGGUCAGUCAGGGUUCUAUGAGACUCGGGACUCAAGUGAUAGAUCACUCAGUGACAA